UGGGGAAUCAUGGUCAAUGGGCGAAAGCCUGAACCUGCGACGCCGCGUGAGUGAUGAAGGUCGUAAGAUCGUAAAACUCUUUUCAGGGAUCUUAAAGCCUGUCCGUCAACAACGGGCAGGUCUGACUCUCCUUGGAAGAAGCCCCAGCCAACUACGUGCCAGCAGCUGCGGUAAUACGUAGGGGGCGAGCGUUAUUCGGAAUUACUGGGUGUAAAGGGUAUGUAGGCGGCCCUUCAAGUCGCGUGUCAAAGUCCAGUGCUCAACGCUGGGUGUGCACGCGAUAUUGACGGGCUUGAGGGCUGGAGAGGUGAGCGGAAUUCCCGGUGUAGUGGUAAAAUACGUAGAGAUCGGGAGGAACACCAGUGGCGAAAGCGGCUUUCUGGACCAAUUCUGACACUAAGCUGCGAAAGCUCGGGGAGCAAACA
rnacentral:rRNA from 1 species